rnacentral:rRNA from 1 species
CUUGCUUCUCUUGAGAGCGGCGGACGGGUGAGUAAUGCCUAGGAAUCUGCCUGGUAGUGGGGGAUAACGUCCGGAAACGGACGCUAAUACCGCAUACGUCCUACGGGAGAAAGCAGGGGACCUUCGGGCCUUGCGCUAUCAGAUGAGCCUAGGUCGGAUUAGCUAGUUGGUGGGGUAAUGGCUCACCAAGGCGACGAUCCGUAACUGGUCUGAGAGGAUGAUCAGUCACACUGGAACUGAGACACGGUCCAGACUCCUACGGGAGGCAGCAGUGGGGAAUAUUGGACAAUGGGCGAAAGCCUGAUCCAGCCAUGCCGCGUGUGUGAAGAAGGUCUUCGGAUUGUAAAGCACUUUAAGUUGGGAGGAAGGGCAGUAAAUUAAUACUUUGCUGUUUUGACGUUACCGACAGAAUAAGCACCGGCUAACUCUGUGCCAGCAGCCGCGGUAAUACAGAGGGUGCAAGCGUUAAUCGGAAUUACUGGGCGUAAAGCGCGCGU